CAGUGUAGAAGCCAAGAACAAAAAAUUGGCAGAAAUUAUUUUCUGUGUGUGAGAAAAUGAAGAGAGUGUACUCAUGACUAAGCACAGGAACCUGAAAAACCACAGGUGCUACAGAUGCUCUGUCUUGACAGGAAACUGUUCUAUGAUCCCUCUUGAACUGGAAGUCAUGGCUGGCUGUAUGUUCUGUUGUAAAACAA